GAUGAACGCUUGCGGCGUGCUUAACACAUGCAAGUCGAACGGUGAACACGGAGCUUGCUCUGCGGGAUCAGUGGCGAACGGGUGAGUAACACGUGAGCAACCUGCCCCUGACUCUGGGAUAAGCGCUGGAAACGGCGUCUAAUACUGGAUACGAGUAGCGGCCGCAUGGUCAGUUACUGGAAAGAUUUUUUGGUUGGGGAUGGGCUCGCGGCCUAUCAGCUUGUUGGUGAGGUAAUGGCUCACCAAGGCGUCGACGGGUAGCCGGCCUGAGAGGGUGACCGGCCACACUGGGACUGAGACACGGCCCAGACUCCUACGGGAGGCAGCAGUGGGGAAUAUUGCACAAUGGGCGAAAGCCUGAUGCAGCAACGCCGCGUGAGGGAUGACGGCCUUCGGGUUGUAAACCUCUUUUAGCAGGGAAGAAGCGAAAGUGACGGUACCUGCAGAAAAAGCGCCGGCUAACUACGUGCCAGCCGCCGCAGUAA
rnacentral:rRNA from 1 species